CCUCCUGUUCUUGGCAGGCCCCGGCUGCCCCGUGCCCGGGGCUGUGAUGUCUGGAGGUAGAGCAGCGACUCUUUCACAGGC
rnacentral:snoRNA from 1 species